AUUCACAGUGCUAUCCUUGUUGGCAUCUGCAGCCUCAUUCUCUCCCGACUGCUUCUCAGCACCAAAAUUCUUCUCAGUUUCAGUGCCAGGCUCCUCAAUCUCCCUAAUAUAUAGCAAAAAUGUGUAUGCAAGUAAGGUACAUACCAAACAAAUGUGAAACAAUUUGUUUUGUAAAGUUCUAGUUUGAAAUUCAUCUUGAAAUCAGAAUAUAAAUACUUACGGAGCAAUGUCAUCGGAGGGUGUUCCCCAAUUCCCCCGUCCAGACCCUUCACGCUUAAUAUCACUCCUGAUAUUCCAAAUAUAUUCAAUAUCAAAAUGAAGAAAGCAGAAAGAUCCACACAUGAAAAGUUAAAUAUAUAAAGAACUGAUUGUAAAAUACUAACCCACGUCCUGUACCACUGUGACGAUCAAAAACCCUCCGAGGGCGUUCCCCUUCACCAUCCUCACCAUUCUUGUAACCACCACGACGCCCACCACGGAAGGAGCCACGAGGAGCACCAUAGCCACCACGUCUUUCAGAGGCUUUCCCAUCUCCCUCUUCAGAUGGUCUGUAGCCACCAGAAAAACCAUUGGUGUUCUCAUUGCUGAUUGGAUCUCGAUUAAAUUCACCACCACCACCUCCUCCACCACGCCCACGACUGAACCCACGUCCACCGCCACUACCACGGCCACCUCCACGGCCACCUUCAUACUUUCCAUCCCUCACUGCAUAUGUUACACACGGUUAUUUGAUAUGCAUAAUAAUUAAAACAUUAUUUGUAUAAAAUAUAACCAUAUCCAUAUGUGAUUCAAGAGAGGACCAUAAAAAAUCUUUCCAGUACCUCGACGAAAAGCACAUGUUAUUGAGCAGAAAAACUUCACUACUAAUGUGUAAUAAAAUAUGAAUGAUACCUCUGCUAAACCAACAGAAAUUCGACAGUUUAUUUUUAAAUUUGAGCCACACGAACUAUAAGAAUAAGGGUUUACCAUCUCAAAGUACUUAAAAACAAAAUACUUUCCGUUAACUGGCAUCCCCUGACCGUACCUCUUAAUAAGAUAAUAAUCAAUCAGAUGUCAAAGUAUAAAAAUUGGGACAUUAAAAGCACGAUCGUGCCACGAUUCAUUAGAUUUCAAUUUACCAGUUCUAAUGGUUCAAUCUCAAUUUGGAGAUGGAAAACUUACCACAAUAAAAACCCAAUACAGUCUUUGUUAAUUACCCUAGAAAACCAAACUCUACGAACAUCCACUGCCACACAUACAGAAAACUUUACACCACAUCACAUCAGAUAUGUACAAUAUCAAUGAAGAAUCCCCCAAAUAUCAAUAACUUAUCAAAACAACCACUUUUCACUUCAACAAAAAACACAACAAAAAAACACUUUCUCAAUGGAAUCCAACAAGUGAGAAUAAGAUAACAACUAGAUUAAAACGCAAAUUUUAAUCUCCAUUUCCAAGCAAACCCAACAAUGUUUUCAGCAAACAAAACCCAGAAAUGAAGUUAAGCAGCAAAGAAAUGAAUAGAAAAGAGACCAGAUUGUGCAGGGGGGAGUGGCUUGGAGGGAAGCUUAGCAGGCUGAGCAGGCUGGGUCUGCUGGGGUUUCUUGGGCUGCGCCACCGGCAGCUUCUGCUGCUGAGCAGCGAGAAGUUGACUUGGGUCCUCAUUGUCGUCAUCCCCCAAGAGAUCGAAAGGGUUCGCGGUUGCCAUUUCUGCAGCUCCGA
rnacentral:lncRNA from 1 species